GACGAACGCUGGCGGCGUGCUUAACACAUGCAAGUCGAACGGAAAGGCCCCUUUGGGGGUACUCGAGUGGCGAACGGGUGAGUAACACGUGAGUAACCUGCCCUUGACUUCGGGAUAACUUCAGGAAACUGGGGCUAAUACCGGAUAGGAAUCCUUGCUGCAUGGUGGGGGUUGGAAAGCUUCGGCGGUUUUGGAUGGACUCGCGGCUUAUCAGCUUGUUGGUGGGGUAGUGGCUUACCAAGGCCUUGACGGGUAGCCGGCCUGAGAGGGCGACCGGCCACAUUGGGACUGAGAUACGGCCCAGACGCCUACGGGAGGCAGCAGUGGGGAAGAUUGCACAAUGGGCGGAAGCCUGAUGCAGCAGCGCCGCGUGCGGGAUGACGGCCUUCGGGUUGUAAACCGCUUUCAGCAGGGGCGAAGCUUGUGGUGACGGUACCUGCAGAAGAAGCACCGGCUAACUACGUG
rnacentral:rRNA from 1 species